UGUGUCCUACGGGACGCAGCAGUGAGGAAUAUUGGUCAAUGGCCGAGAGGCUGAACCAGCCACGUCGCGUGAGGGAUGACGGCCCUACGGGUUGUAAACCUCUUUUGUCGGGGAGCAAGACCCGCCUCGUGCAGGCGGAGCGAGAGUACCCGAAGAAAAAGCAUCGGCUAACUCCGUGCCAGCAGCCGCGGUAAUACGGAGGAUGCGAGCGUUAUCCGGUUUUACUGGGUGUAAAGGGGGCGCAGACGGCAAUGCAAGCCAG
rnacentral:rRNA from 1 species